GGCCUCAUACAUGCAAGUCGAGCGCGAAAGUCCGCAAGGAUGAGUAAAGCGGCGCACGGGUGAGUAACACGUAGGUAACCUACCCUUUAUUGGGGAACAACCUGUCGAAAGACGGGCUAAUUCCGCAUACGUCCAACGGACUUCGGUUCGUUGGAGAAAGAUGACCUCUUCUUGAAAGUUAUCGAUAAUGGAUGAGCCUAUGUCAGAUUAGCUAGUUGGUGGGGUAAAGGCCUACCAAGGCAGUGAUCUGUAGCUGUUCUGAGAGGAUGAUCAGCCACACUGGGACUGAGACACGGCCCAGACUCCUACGGGAGGCAGCAGUGGGGAAUAUUGGACAAUGGGCGGAAGCCUGAUCCAGCCAUGCCGCGUGUGUGAAGAAGGCCUUAGGGUUGUAAAGCAC
rnacentral:rRNA from 1 species